rnacentral:rRNA from 1 species
AGCAGCCGCGGUAAUUCCAGCUCCAAUAGCGUAUAUUAAAGUUGUUGCAGUUAAAAAGCUCGUAGUUGAAUUUCGGGAUUAGUACGCUGGUCAUGCCUUUGGUAUGUACUGGUGUUACUGGUUCCUACCUUCUGAAGAACCGUCAUGUCAUUAAUUUGGUGUGGCGGGGAAUCAGGACUGUUACUUUGAAAAAAUUAGAGUGUUUAAAGCAGGCUCGCGCUUGAAUACAUUAGCAUGGAAUAAUGAAAUAGGACGUUUGACCCUAUUUUGUUGGUUUCUAGGAUCGACGUAAUGAUUAAUAGGGAUAGUUGGGGGCAUUAGUAUUCAAUUGUCAGAGGUGAAAUUCUUGGAUUUAUUGAAGACUAACUACUGCGAAAGCAUUUGCCAAGGAUGUUUUCAUUAAUCAAGAACGAAAGUUAGGGGAUCGAAGACGAUCAGAUACCGUCGUAGUCUUAACCAUAAACUAUGCCGACUAGGGAUCGGAUGAUGUUAUUUUUAAUGACUCAUUCGGCGCCUUACG